CUAUAUUUCCCAAGAAAAAAAGAGGACUAGUCAUAAACCAGCAGAGAGAGAAAUCUCAAAUCAGUGAAUUGCGGGGGGGUUAGCACGUCAACAAAUGGAGAAAAUCAAGAUAUAAGAGGGACUUAACUGAAUUAUGAAGCGAAUCUUCAGGGAAAAAAAAACAAACAGUUUUAGAGCUUUAUAUAUAUAUUCCAACUUAGGG
rnacentral:lncRNA from 1 species